GAUGAACGCUGGCGGCGUGCCUAAUACAUGCCAGUCGAGCGAACGGACUAGGUGCUUGCUCCUCUGUUAUUAGCGGCGGACGGGUGAGUAACACGUGGAUAAUCUACCUAUAAGCCUGGGACAACUUCUGGAAACCGGUGCUAAUACCGCAUGACAUCUUUAACCGUAUGGUUUAAGAGUGAAAGACGCUCUUGCUUCCCUUUAUAGAUGUAUCCGCUCUUCUUUAGCUAGUUGGUAAGGUAACGCCUUCCCAAGCGAACGAUGCAUAGCCGACCUGAGAGGGUGAUCGGCCACACGGGAACUGGGACACGGUCCAGGCUCCUACGGGGGGCAGCAGUAGGGAUUCUUCGGCAAUGGGCGAAAGCCUGCCGAGGAAACGCGGCGUGGGUGAUGAAGGUCUUCGGAUCGUAAAACUCUGUUAUUAGGAAGGACCAUAUGUGUAGGUGACUGUUCACAUCGUGACGGUACCUAACCAGAAAGCCACGGCUAACUACGUG
rnacentral:rRNA from 1 species